GACGAACGCUGGAGGCGUGCCUAAUACAUGCAAGUCGAGCGCAGGAAACUGACGGAACUCUUCGGAGGGAAGGCAGUGGAAUGAGCGGCGGACGGGUGAGUAACACGUAAGGAACCUGCCUCAAGGAUUGGGAUAACUCCGAGAAAUCGGAGCUAAUACCGGAUAGUUCAACGGACCGCAUGGUCCGCUGAUGAAAGGCGCUUCGGCGUCACCUUGAGAUGGCCUUGCGGUGCAUUAGCUAGUUGGUGGGGUAACGGCCCACCAAGGCGACGAGGCAUAGCCGACCUGAGAGGGUGAUCGGCCACACUGGGACUGAGACACGGCCCAGACUCCUACGGGAGGCAGCAGUAGGGAAUCUUCCACAAUGGACGAAAGUCUGAUGGAGCAACGCCGCGUGAGUGAUGAAGGUGUUCGGAUCGUAAAACUCUGUUGUAAGGGAAGAACACGUACGAGAGGAAAUGCUCGUACCUUGACGGUACCUUACGAGAAAGCCACGGCUAACUACGUGCCAGCCGCCGCGGUAA
rnacentral:rRNA from 1 species